rnacentral:rRNA from 1 species
AGCAUAUAAUUAAGCGGAGGAAAAGAAACUAACCAGGAUUCCCUUAGUAACGGCGAGUGAACCGGGAGGAGCCCAUACGAAAUCAAUGUCUUUGGCAUUGAAUUGUGGUGUGUAGACGCUUGCGUUAACGGCCUGGCCAAGUCCUUUGGAAUGAGGCAGCUUAGAGGGUGACACUCCCGUUGGCCGGGCUGUAUGAGCGAGUUGUCCAAGAGUCGAGUUGUUUGGGAUUGCAGCUCAAAGUGGGUGGUAAAUUCCAUCUAAGGCUAAAUACUGGUGGGAGACCGAUAGCGCACAAGUACCGUGAGGGAAAGAUGCAAAGAACUUUGAAAAGAGAGUUAAAGAGUACCUGAAAUUGCUGGAAAGGAAGCGAAGGAAACCAGUGCUAGGUGAAUCAUACUUCCUUGGUCGCUUGCGGCCGGGGCGCUGUGGCCACCGUUGCCAGACUUGGUUGGAAGGGUAGGAAGUGUGGUCGGGGAGUUUCGACCCGGCCAUGUCGCUAUCCUUGUGACGAAUGUCUGGGGAAAUGGUUUUCUUUUUCCCGUCUUG